rnacentral:rRNA from 2 species
UCUACGGGAGGCUGCAGUCGAGAAUCUUUCGCAAUGCCCGAAAGGGUGACGAAGCGACGCCGCGUGCGGGAGGAAGGCCUUCGGGUUGUAAACCGCUGUCGGGAGUUAAGAAAUGCAAGGAUGUUAAUAGCGUUCUUGCUUGACUAAGGCUCCGGAGGAAGCCACGGCUAACUCUGUGCCAGCAGCCGCGGUAAUACAGAGGCGGCAAGCGUUGUUCGGAAUUAUUGGGCGUAAAGAGCACGUAGGCGGCUGUGUAAGUCGGUUGUGAAAGCCUUCCGCUCAACGGAAGAACGGCAUCCGAUACUGCAUAGCUUGAGUGUGGGAGGGGAGAGUGGAACUUCUGGUGGAGCGGUGAAAUGCGUAGAUAUCAGAAGGAACACCGGCGGCGAAGGCGACUCUCUGGUCCAUAACUGACGCUGAGUGUGCGAAAGCUAGGGGAGCAAACGGGAUUAGAUACCCCGGUAGUCCUAGCCGUAAACGAUGGGCACUAAGUAGAGGGGUUUUGAUUAUCUCUCUGCCGGAGCUAACGCAUUAAGUGCCCCGCCUGGGGAGUACGGCCGCAAGGCUAAAACUCAAAAGAAUUGACGGGG